rnacentral:rRNA from 1 species
UUAGAGUUUGAUCCUGGCUCAGGACGAACGCUGGCGGCGUGCCUAAUACAUGCAAGUGGAACGCUUGUUCAACAUCGGAGCUUGCUCCACCGUUGAACAAGAGUCGCGAACGGGUGAGUAACGCGUGGGAAAUCUGCCUCUCAGCGGGGGACAACUACUAGAAAUGGUAGCUAAUACCGCAUAACAGAACAGAUCACAUGAUUCAUUUUUGAAAGAUGCAAUCGCAUCACUGAGAGAUGAUCCCGCGUUGGAUUAGCUAGUUGGUAAGGUAACGGCUUACCAAGGCGAUGAUCCAUAGCCGACCUGAGAGGGUAAUCGGCCACAUUGGGACUGAGACACGGCCCAAACUCCUACGGGAGGCAGCAGUAGGGAAUCUUCGGCAAUGGACGGAAGUCUGACCGAGCAACGCCGCGUGAGUGAAGAAGGUUUUCGGAUCGUAAAGCUCUGUUGUAAGAGACGAACGGGAGAGAGAGUGGAAAGUUCUCUUCGUGACGGUAUCUUACCAGAAAGGGACGGCUAACUACGUGCCAGCAGCCGCGGUAAUACGUAGGUCCCGAGCGUUGUCCGGAUUUAUUGGGCGUAAAGCGAGCGCAGGCGGUUUCUUAAGUCUGAUGUAAAAGGCAGUGGCUUAGCCAUUGUACGCAUUGGAAACUGGGAGACUUGAGUGCAGUAGAGGUGAGUGGAACUCCAUGUGUAGCGGUGGAAUGCGUAGAUAUAUGGAAGAACACCGGAGGCGAAAGCGGCUCACUGGGCUGUAACUGACGCUGAGGCUCGAAAGCGUAGGUAGCAAACAGGAUUAGAUACCCUGGUAGUCUACGCCGUAAACGAUGAGUGCUAGAUGUUGGGAGGCAUAAGCUUUUCAGUAUCGCAGUUAACACGAUAAGCACUCCGCCUGGGGAGUACGACCGCAAGGUUGAAACUCAAAGGAAUUGACGG